GACGAACGCUGGCGGCGUGCUUAACACAUGCAAGUCGAACGAUGAACCCGGAGCUUGCUCCGGUGGAUUAGUGGCGAACGGGUGAGUAACACGUGAGUAACCUGCCCUUGACUCUGGGAUAACUGCGGGAAACUGUAGCUAAUACCGGAUACGACCCUCGGCGGCAUCGCCAGGGGGUGGAAAGAAUUUCGGUCAAGGAUGGACUCGCGGCCUAUCAGCUAGUUGGUGAGGUAACGGCUCACCAAGGCGACGACGGGUAGCCGGCCUGAGAGGGUGACCGGCCACACUGGGACUGAGACACGGCCCAGACUCCUACGGGAGGCAGCAGUGGGGAAUAUUGGACAAUGGGGGCAACCCUGAUCCAGCAAUGCCGCGUGAGGGAAGAAGGCCUUCGGGUUGUAAGCUCUUUUGUCAGGGAAGAAACACCGGCUCUAACACAGUCCGGGAAUGACGGUACCUGAAGAAUAAGCACCGGCUAAC
rnacentral:rRNA from 1 species